AUUAAUUUGUGUAACAUGUUUAGUUGUGUGUCUACAGUUUUCUUCGGUAUCUACGCUGUUUGCUGCAUUGAAGCAGGCAAGUAUUGUCUUACUCAUGAAUGAGCUACUCUGAAUGUAGCGUUUGAAAAUUCGAUGUGCCGACUUUACUACCUCUGUCGACUGGAGCGUAACGUUCGCUGUUGUCGGGGUUCCUCACUCCCUUGUUGGUACCUACACUGCUCUGAGUACUCGUGAGUACACUGCCGUCCUGUACCUUGACGGCGAGCCACUGGACUCCUACAGUAGCAGUGGCGUGGUCAGCAUGCCCCGUCGAGCCUGGAUGCGUGAAGUACCUGGCCGUUAUAUCUGGAACUCAACCAAAGGCCGAAAUAUGCAGCAAUGGGACAGAGGCAUGGCGGACAUCUUCAACCACACAGGACCUUACAUGAGUGCUGUGGUCCUGCAGGGGAGAUUUGGCUGUAGAAUCGAGCGGGAGCCUCAUGUGAGCGUUACAGAGGCCUUUGCUCAGUACGGAUUGAACGGAGAAGACUUCCUGUACUUCCAGCUCACCAGGCUUCAGUGGGUGGCUUCAGCAGAGUCCGCUCUCCCCAUUGCAAAGAAGUGGAACAGGGACUAGAACAACACCAUGGAAACUGAGAAAUACAUGAAGCACAUCUGUGUGUCUAGUCUUUUGCGCAGUUUGUUCAUGGAAGAAAAGGAGAGCCAGAAGACAUUUCAGCCCAAUGCUUCGGUGUUUGCCAAGCUGUCCCGGAACCCUGGGAAGGUUAUUCUGACCUGCCUGGUUUCAGGAUUUCGCUGCGGGAACACGACGGUGGAGCUUUAUCGGGAUGAAGACAUCUUGACUGAAGACGAC